UUUUUUUUUUUUUUAAUUUAUAAUUUGGUGAUGGUGGUUAUACUCCUAUAUGCUAGAUGAAGAGCCUUGUAAGUCACUUGGAUCUCAUGAUUUUCGUCAACGCCUUCGCUUUUUUUUUUUGGUUCGUAGACAUAAGAAGAAAGAAAAAAUGCAAAAAACCAACCCUCGCCACAAGCGUCAGCUUUAAGAAGGGGGGUAAGACCAGCAGGUUGGCUGUCAAACCACUAGCAGAAGUGAUUCAAUUUUACUAGCACCAUUCGUAUUCAAAAUAAAAAGUACCCGAGGGAGGUCGUUACCACUGCAUUCACUUACGUCCUCUAGAUAUUUGAGUAGACAAACCAGACAUGGCACUCGCAAUAUCUAUAGCAAAGUCCCUAUCAUAUUUCACCAGUUAUAGCGUGGUAGUAGAUUUCCAUCAUUUUAUGUGCUGCUUAAAGUACAGUGGAUAGCUCCUAGUUGACAUAAAUUCAUAGUAGAGCAUCAUUUGCUCUCGAUUUGGCGUUUGCACGAAUGAAGAAUCAAGAAUCAAAAGCCUUCAAAAUGGAAUCAAAAGCCUCGUACACCAAAAUUUUUCUGCAUUUCCCCUUUAUUUAAAGGAUCCAUAUACAUGGGAGCUACAGGCCCAGACCAAUGAACGGAUUACGCGUUGGCACACCUAAGCUCCCAUCCCAUCCCAUCCCAAUGCUUAGGAGGGGCGUUCCUGUAAUUUCAUCAUUUCCUCACCCGGGUCCACAGCGUCGAUCGUUCAAUAGAAAAACAAUGUUGGUCAAAAUCUUAUGACGACGUGAAUUCACAAGGGAACUGAAGCAAGGAAAAAAGCGUAUAUCGGACGACCAAUCAGUGAUUGCAACAUUUGCUUUCAUCUUCGUCUUCCUCACAGUCUUAGCCGAUUACAUCACCAAUGAUUCCCAGGUUAAACGUAGCAGAACUUGCAUUGCUGAAAGUGGAAUGAAGGUAUUGGAAUCCGAUACCGGAAAUAUUGCGGGGUACGAAGCUUGAUGAACUCAAAUAAACUUGAUUGGAUUGCCCUUUUACUGUAGAUUUAUAAUUUAUUAAUUCCAUUCGAUUGGCUAUGAAAAAUAAGAGUUUUUUUUUUCUUUACGUUUUGUCAAAAUCAGCAUCAAACAGCUCCUCCUGUAUAGGCUAAAGAAUUAGAGAUUUCCGAUUGGUGUUCGGAUAUUAGCCCAACUGCCAACUUAACUACCUAAAACUGACCUAUCACCAUUUACUUCAGCCCAACUACAUGGUGGACCCUUGAAAGUUACAUCUCACUUGCUCCUGCCGGGUGCCAAUUUUUUAAUACAAUGCCAUUUUGCAGCGUUAUUGAAUAGCAUAAGAUUUAGAACUAUAACGAACUGAAAACUUCUGUAAGUCUGUAAAACAAAACGAUAUUGGCUUCUUCUUCCC